GAUGAACGCUGACAGAAUGCUUAACACAUGCAAGUCAACUUGAAUUUGGGUUUUUAACUUAGAUUUGGGUGGCGGACGGGUGAGUAACGCGUAAAGAACUUGCCUCACAGCUAGGGACAACAUUUAGAAAUGAAUGCUAAUACCUGAUAUUAUGAUUUUAAGGCAUCUUAGAAUUAUGAAAGCUAUAAGCACUGUGAGAGAGCUUUGCGUCCCAUUAGCUAGUUGGAGAGGUAACAGCUCACCAAGGCGAUGAUGGGUAGCCGGCCUGAGAGGGUGAACGGCCACAAGGGGACUGAGACACGGCCCUUACUCCUACGGGAGGCAGCAGUGGGGAAUAUUGGACAAUGGACCGAGAGUCUGAUCCAGCAAUUCUGUGUGCACGAUGAAGUUUUUCGGAAUGUAAAGUGCUUUCAGUUGGGAAGAAAUAAAUGACGGUACCAACAGAAGAAGUGACGGCUAAAUACGUGCCAGCAGCCGCGGUAAUACGUAUGUCACGAGCGUUAUCCGGAUUUAUUGGGCGUAAAGCGCGUCUAGGUGGUUAUGUAAGUCUGAUGUGAAAAUGCAGGGCUCAGCUCUGUAUUGCGUUGGAAACUGUAUAACUAGAGUACUGGAGAGGUAAGCGGAACUACAAGUGUAGAGGUGAAAUUCGUAGAUAUUUGUAGGAAUGCCGAUGGGGAAGCCAGCUUACUGGACAGAUACUGACGCUAAAGCGCGAAAGCGUGGGUAGCAACAGG
rnacentral:rRNA from 1 species